AACUAUUAUGGCUAUAUUAUGUAAAUUGUGUUGUAGUAUAAUUGUAGUAUACUAUAAAUGGCUAUACCAUGUAAAUAGAUAUAGGGUAAUCAUGAUGUUGUUAUAGGAUUACAUUUUCCAUGUUUUAAGGUCCAUGUUUUAAGGCUAAAGUCUCCCUUGUUUUAGGGAGGACUUUAGGCUACAUGUUCCUACACUCUUUCCCUAUAUGUAAUCCAUUUUAGCAGAAAAUACUACUCUUCCUCCCUGCAUCAAAACUCUCUCUCUCUCUCUCUCUCUCUCAAGUUCUUUGAAGCAAAGCUCUCUCCAUUUUCUAAAACAAUUUUAUGUUCGUUUUACAACACGUUAUCAGCACGAAUAGCUCUACGAUUCGGAUUGCAGAUUGACAAGAGGAGAGGUGAAUAACUUGGGUUGCAGAGAAGAGGCAGUUCAUCUUUCAAUCAACUUCACUCUACCAGCUCUACAACCAAAGGCUGAGUCAGAAGCUCAAAUCAAGCCCAAAGUCAUAAUAACAAAUUCGAGCCAGAAGCUCAGGCCCAAGCUACAAGACCAUAACAGAAGCUCGCCAUGAGUUGCCAUGACAAAGACCAGUUUGAGCCCAGCAGGCCUACUCUCCCUCUGCAGGACCUAGCAGCCCAGCAGGCCUCACACACCAUUUAAAUUACGCAUGAAAGGCCGGGUCACAAGCCCGCAGACUAAGCCCGAUAGGCUUCACUAUCAAGCCCACUCUUUCUUUGGUCCAGCAGAACCAAAUAAAAGAAAAAAUGAUUUGAUUCUACUGAGAUUUGAACCCAGACAAUGUGCAUGUCAUUAUGGCUAUUGUAAAUAAAUUCACCAUAUUUCAUAUGUGUAAUUAAUUGCCAGAAGCAUUUAUUCACAUAAUUGUGUGACAAUUAAUAUGUUAUAUUACUAGCAUGCAAUUAAUAUCUCAA